GAUGAACGCUGGCGGCGUGCCUAAUACAUGCAAGUCGAGCGAACAGACGAGGAGCUUGCUCCUCUGACGUUAGCGGCGGACGGGUGAGUAACACGUGGAUAACCUCCCUAUAAGACUGGGAUAACUUCGAGAAACCGGAGCUAAUACCGGAUAAUAUAUUGAACCGCAUGGUUCAAUAGUGAAAGACGGUUUUGCUGUCACUUAUAGAUGGAUCCGCGCCGCAUUAGCUAGUUGGUAAGGUAACGGCUUACCAAGGCGACGAUGCGUAGCCGACCUGAGAGGGUGAUCGGCCACACUGGAACUGAGCCACGGUCCAGACUCCUACGGGAGGCAGCAGUAGGGAAUCUUCCGCAAUGGGCGAAAGCCUGACGGAGCAACGCCGCGUGAGUGAUGAAGGUCUUCGGAUCGUAAAACUCUGCUACUAGGGAAGAACAAAUGUGUAAGUAACUAUGCACGUCUUGACGGUACCUAAUCAGAAAGCCACGGCUAACUACGUG
rnacentral:rRNA from 1 species